rnacentral:rRNA from 1 species
CACUCCUACGGGAGGCAGCAGUGGGGAAUUUUGGACAAUGGGCGAAAGCCUGAUCCAGCCAUGCCGCGUGCAGGAUGAAGGCCUUCGGGUUGUAAACUGCUUUUGUACGGAACGAAACGGCCUUUUCUAAUAAAGAGGGCUAAUGACGGUACCGUAAGAAUAAGCACCGGCUAACUACGUGCCAGCAGCCGCGGUAAUACGUAGGGUGCAAGCGUUAAUCGGAAUUACUGGGCGUAAAGCGUGCGCAGGCGGUUAUUUAAGACAGUUGUGAAAUCCCCGGGCUUAACCUGGGAACUGCAUCUGUGACUGCAUGGCUAGAGUACGGUAGAGGGGGAUGGAAUUCCGCGUGUAGCAGUGAAAUGCGUAGAUAUGCGGAGGAACACCGAUGGCGAAGGCAAUCCCCUGGACCUGUACUGACGCUCAUGCACGAAAGCGUGGGGAGCAAACAGGAUUAGAUACCCCUGUAGUCCCAUGAU